AGCGAACGCUGGCGGCAGGCCUAACACAUGCAAGUCGAACGGACCCUUCGGGGUUAGUGGCGGACGGGUGAGUAACACGUGGGAACGUGCCUUUAGGUUCGGAAUAGCUCCUGGAAACGGGUGGUAAUGCCGAAUGUGCCCUUCGGGGGAAAGAUUUAUCGCCUUUAGAGCGGCCCGCGUCUGAUUAGCCAGUUGGUGAGGUAACGGCUCACCAAGGCGACGAUCAGUAGCUGGUCUGAGAGGAUGACCAGCCACACUGGGACUGAGACACGGCCCAGACUCCUACGGGAGGCAGCAGUGGGGAAUCUUGCGCAAUGGGCGAAAGCCUGACGCAGCCAUGCCGCGUGAAUGAUGAAGGUCUUAGGAUUGUAAAAUUCUUUCACCGGGGACGAUAAUGACGGUACCCGGAGAAGAAGCCCCGGCUAACUUCGUGCCAGCCGCCGCAGUAA
rnacentral:rRNA from 1 species